CACGUCAGCGCGACCUGCUGACGUGGAAGGAAAUCGUUUCCUUGAGGGCGCAAUUUCCUUCCACGUUAGCAGGUCGCGCUGACGUGG
rfam:Gossypium hirsutum cultivar TM-1 chromosome 24, whole genome shotgun sequence